GUCAGGAUGGCCGAGCGGUCUAAGGCGGUGCACUCAAGAUGCACUUCUGGAAACGGAGCGUGGGUUCGAAUCCCACUCUUGACA
rnacentral:tRNA from 1 species